rnacentral:tRNA from 1 species
GCCCUGGUAGCUCAGUUGGUAGAGCACGUGCAUGGUACAAACGGGGUCACGGGUUCAAGUCCCGUCCAGGGCU